GUGCUUUAGGGAUGUACAAGCCCCACAAAUCCAUCCAUCCUACUCACUUUGUCAGCUUUCUCUUCUCUGGUCUUGCUGAUCAUUAAUGGGUGGUACAUCC